GAUGAACGCUGGCGGCGUGCCUAACACAUGCAAGUCGAACGGGAGCAAGUGCUUCGGUAUUUGCUUUAGUGGCGAACGGGUGAGUAACGCGUGAAUAACCUGCCUUUCAGUGGGGAAUAACACAGGGAAACCUGUGCUAAUACCGCAUGAUGCAGUUGGGUCGCAUGACUCUGACUGCCAAAGAUUUAUCGCUCUGAGAUGGACUCGCGUCUGAUUAGCUUGUUGGCGGGGUAACGGCCCACCAAGGCGACGAUCAGUAGCCGGACUGAGAGGUUGGCCGGCCACAUUGGGACUGAGACACGGCCCAG
rnacentral:rRNA from 1 species